AGCGACCCGUCAGAAUAGUUUGAAAAAUAAUCAUUCUAUGUGACAGGCUACGAAAAAUCAGUUCCAACAAAUACUGCAAAAUUUUCAGUUUAAAUUUAUAAAAAUCUUUCACUAACAAUGUCAUUCUAAUGUUCAGAGCGCCGCAAACACGGUCACCAUGUUUUGAAUAAUGGGUCUUGUCCACCGAUGCGUCCGGCUCGUGGUUACCGUACUCCUGUCGCUGUUUGGAUUGAGUAGCGCUUGCACGAAGAAGGUCUACAUUGCUUGUCGAUCUCCUGCUCCGUGCACCAAGUGAUUGGGUGUUUGUUUCAGGUAUCAGAAUGGCCAAGUUCACUCACAGCUUGUACAUUAUACUGUUUACGUUAAUCUCUCUGUUUAUAUUCGGCGCGUCUUGUUGCAAGAAGAGUAUUCCGUGCACUGGACGAGCGCCCUGCAGGCGUGGCCCUUUUAGGAACUGAAAAUUGCCGAAGUGAUGAGCGCUUGGAAGCCGCUAGUAGCUGCUUUUUAUUUAUUGGUGAUCUGCGUGCUGGAAGUCAUCGGAUGCGGGAGCAAACGUAUCACGUGUAACCCUGAGAAUCCGCCGUGCAAGAAAUAAGUUUGUAGGCGAUGGACAAAGCCAUCAUACAAGAGAUCAUAGUACUAGUGGUGACGUUACUGCUGGCUUACUUGGAGUCCUGUCUCGGCUGCACGAGGCACGAGUACAUUACCUGCAACGAGAACAGCCCUAAGUGCGAUAAGAAGUGAAGAUUUUUUAAUAUAUUGAAGUGUCCUUUCAAGUCCAACAAUGGCGCUGAUCAUCAAUGAGUUUGUCCUGCUUCUGCUGCACAUAGCGGUGUCAGUUUUUGACUUGACGCGCGGCUGCGGACGAAAACGGCAAUGUGGCGACGAGGGUCAGCCCUGCGGUCAGUUCAUCAAUAAAAAUCGAGUUCGGAUGCUUCGGAAAACAACAUAAACAGAAGAAAUGGUCGAAAAGUGUAUGCUCUUUUUACUUUACAUCAUCAUAUUGAUCGUGAUGGUUUAUGGGUGCAAGAGCAGAAGACGUUGCCCCAAGUAUUGCCUCCCGUGUACCUAUAAAGGACCCAUAAUUGAGGUCUUGUCUCCUAAGCCGAAAAAAUAGCGGAACUUUUUUUAAAGUUUGAUGUAACAGAAACGUUUUUGUAAUAAAAAAGUUAAGAUAAUUGAAAA